GACGAACGCUGGCGGCGUGCCUAACACAUGCAAGUCGAACGGGGUAGAAGACUUCGGUCUUUUACUUAGUGGCGAACGGGUGAGUAACGCGUGAGGAACCUGCCUCUCAGUGGGGGACAACAGUUGGAAACGACUGCUAAUACCGCAUAAUGUUUUCGGACCGCAUGAUCUGAAAACCAAAGAUUUAUUGCUGAGAGAUGGCCUCGCGUCUGAUUAGCUAGUUGGUGGGGUAACGGCCCACCAAGGCGACGAUCAGUAGCCGGUCUGAGAGGAUGAACGGCCACAUUGGGACUGAGAUACGGCCCAGACUCCUACGGGAGGCAGCAGUGGGGAAUAUUGGGCAAUGGGGGAAACCCUGACCCAGCAACGCCGCGUGAAGGAAGAAGGCCUUCGGGUUGUAAACUUCUUUUACCAGGGACGAAGAAAGUGACGGUACCUGGAGAAAAAGCAACGGCUAACUACGUGCCAGCAGCCGCGGUAAAAC
rnacentral:rRNA from 1 species